rnacentral:rRNA from 1 species
UGGGGAAUAUUGCACAAUGGGCGCAAGCCUGAUGCAGCAACGCCGCGUGAGUGAAGAAGUAUUUCGGUAUGUAAAGCUCUAUCAGUAGGGAAGAAAGGCCCUUCGGGGAGAUGACGGUACCUGACUAAGAAGCCCCGGCUAACUACGUGCCAGCAGCCGCGGUAAUACGUAGGGGGCAAGCGUUAUCCGGAUUUACUGGGUGUAAAGGGAGCGCAGACGGCAGUGCAAGUCUGAUGUGAAAGCCCGGGGCUCAACCCCGGAACUGCAUUGGAAACUGUACAGCUUGAGUGUCGGAGAGGUAAGCGGAAUUCCUAGUGUAGCGGUGAAAUGCGUAGAUAUUAGGAGGAACACCGGUGGCGAAGGCGGCUUACUGGACGAUUACUGACGGUGAGGCUCGAAAGCGUGGGGAGCAAACAG